rnacentral:rRNA from 1 species
GGCGUACGGGUGAGUAACACGUGGGUAACCUGCCCUGGAGUUCGGGAUACCCUCUCGAAAGGGAGGCUAAUACCGGAUACGUCCCUUGGAUUGCGAAAUCUGAGGGGGAAAGGCGGCGAAAGCUGUCGCUCUUGGAGGGGCUCGCGGCCUAUCAGCUAGUUGGUGAGGUAAUGGCUCACCAAGGCAAUGACGGGUAGCUGGUCUGAGAGGACGACCAGCCACACGGGGACUGAGACACGGCCCUGACUCCUACGGGAGGCAGCAGUGGGGAAUUUUCCGCAAUGGGCGAAAGCCUGACGGAGUGACGCCGCGUGGGGGACGAAGGCCUUCGGGUCGUAAACCCCUGUCAGAGGGAAAGAAGGGUGUCGGCGCGAUAACCGUCGGCAUUCGACGGUACCUUCAGAGGAAGCCCCGGCCAACUCUGUGCCAGCAGCCGCGGUAAGACAGAGGGGGCAAGCGUUGCUCGGAAUCACUGGGCGUAAAGGGCGCGUGGGCGGGAUAGCGAGUCAGUCGUGAAAUCCUCCGGCUCAACCGGAGAACGUCGGCUGAUACUGCUG